UACGUAGGGGGCAAGCGUUGUCCGGAAUCAUUGGGCGUAAAGAGCGUGUAGGCGGCUCGAUAAGUCUGCUGUGAAAGUCCAGGGCUCAACCCUGGAAGGCCGGUGGAAACUGUCGGGCUAGAGUCCGGAAGAGGCGAGUGGAAUUCCCGGUGUAGCGGUGAAAUGCGCAGAUAUCGGGAGGAACACCAAUGGCGAAGGCAGCUCGCUGGGACGGUACUGACGCUGAGACGCGGAAAAGCGUGGGGAGCAACAGGG
rnacentral:rRNA from 1 species